UACGUAGGGUGCGAGCGUUGUCCGGAAUUAUUGGGCGUGAAGGGCUCGUAGGCGGUCUGUUACGUCGGGCGUGAAAACUCGGGGCUCAACCCCGAGCCUGCGUCCGAUACGGGCAGACUAGAGGUAUGCAGGGGAGAAUGGAAUUCCUGGUGUAGCGGUGAAAUGCGCAGAUAUCAGGAGGAACACCGGUGGCGAAGGCGGAUCUCUGGGCCAUUACUGACGCUGAGGAGCGAAAGCGUGGGGAGCGAACAGG
rnacentral:rRNA from 1 species